CUUCAACGAGCCGAGCAACAGGGGCUGUUCGGCCGGGCGGUCCUGCCCGUACGUGGCCAGCAGAGCAUCGGCCUC
rnacentral:antisense_RNA from 2 species